AUUUCCGCUGUGCCUGCACCCCAGGCCCUGGUGCUGGUGUAGGUUUGAAACUGCGGCUCUGCACGGGAGGUGCUGGUGUUCCGACUCCUGAAGCGAUGCGCUGCGGUGGCGGCGCCAGGGCCUGCCGCAGGGCCUGCAGGUGCUGGCUGUCCGGGUACGCGGGUCCCGCAGAUGGGACGCAGCAGCCUGACGCCCCCGAGCAUGCGGUGGCCCGCGAGGCGCUGGUAGACCUCUGCCGGAGGAGGCACUUUUUCAGCGGGACGCCGCAGCAGCUCAGCACGGCUGCUCUGCUGAGCGGGUGCCACGCGCGCUUUGGACCUUUGGGUGUAGAGUUACGAAAGAACCUAGCCUCACAGUGGUGGUCCUCUAUGGUGGUGUUCAGGGAGCAGGUCUUCGCGGUGGACUCCCUCCACCAGGAGCCGGGCUCUUCGCAGCCGAGGGACAGUGCCUUCAGGUGCCUUGGAGCACUAUGUUAAUUGCCUGGAUCUGGUAAACAGAAAGCUACCUUUCGGUCUUGCUCAGAUUGGAGUCUGUUUCCAUCCUGUUUCGAACAGCAAUCAGACACCCAGCAGUGUUACAAGAGUUGGUGAAAAGACGGAAGCUUCCUUGGUAUGGUUUACUCCCACAAGGACUUCGAGCCAGUGGCUUGAUUUCUGGUUGCGUCAUCGGCUUCUGUGGUGGAGAAAGUUUGCUAUGAGUCCCUCUAACUUCAGCAGCGCUGAUUGUCAGGAUGAAUUGGGACGCAAGGGAAGCAAACUUUACUACAGCUUCCCCUGGGGAAAGGAGCCAAUAGAAACCCUGUGGAACCUAGGAGAUCAAGAACUCCUACACACAUAUCCUGGAAAUGUGUCUACGAUACAGGGUCGAGAUGGGCGGAAAAACGUGGUUCCUUGCGUUCUGUCUGUAAGUGGGGACGUAGACCUGGGCACGCUGGCUUACCUCUACGAUUCCUUCCAGCUGGCAGAGAACUCCUUUGCCAGGAAGAAGAGCCUCCAGAGAAAGGUGCUUAAACUUCACCCUUGUUUAGCCCCUAUUAAGGUCGCUUUGGAUGUGGGGAAAGGCCCAACGGUAGAACUCCGACAGGUUUGUCAAGGGCUACUUAAUGAGUUACUAGAAAAUGGGAUUUCUGUGUGGCCUGGCUAUUCGGAAACUGUCCAUUCCUCAUUAGAGCAACUCCAUUCAAAAUGGAAGACAGGUAAACAUGUCCUUCCUUUGAAGAGAGGAGUAUUCAUGUUUUAACCAUUCCUGGUUCCCUAGUACUUAUCUGUAUGCAACGUACGUCCUCUAUAGCAUCUCAGCCUUGCCCUGGGCUGGCCUUGAACUCAGUAUGUAGUUGAGUAUUAUUACCUUGAACUUCGAUUGUCCUGCCUCCCCUUCCUGAGUGUUGGGAUCAUAGACAUAUAAUCCACAUGCCUAGUUUUUAAAAACUGAAUGUUUGGGGCCAGAAAGAAGGCUCAGUAGUUAAGAGCACUGGCUGCUCUACCAGAGAACACAGAUUUGGUGACCAGCACUCAUGUGGCAGCUCACAACUGUUCAUUAACUCCAGUUUCAGGGCAUCCAAUUCCCUCUUGUGGCCUCCGUAGGCACCAGGCCCAUGCAGAUAUACAUACAAGUAAAACACUCAUGUGCGUAAAGUGAAAAUCAGUAAGAUGGUUUUGGUUUUUUGGUUGGUUGGUUUUGGUUUUUUUGAUUCAGGGUUUCUCUGUGUAGCCCUGGCUGUCCUGGAACUCACUCUGUAGACCAGGCUGGCCUCGAACUCAGAAAUCCGCCUGCCUCUGCCUCCCAAGUGCUGGGAUUAAAAGCACGUGCCACCACUGCCCGGCAGUAAAAUGUUUAAAAAUUCAUCUUUAGUAGAUUUUGGAAAGCGGGAAGGCUAGUGUUUCAUUCAAUGAUUAACGAAUUAGAAACAGCAAGUAACAUGUUAAGUCAUAAAUGGAGUAUGGAUUUGUUGUGAUCUGUUGUAUUCCAAAUCCUUAUGUUUUUUUAAUAUGGUUUAUUCUAAGAGAGUUUUGUCUGCAAAUAGUUUGCUAUCAUUAAAGUUGAAUUC